rnacentral:rRNA from 1 species
CACGUAGGGUGCGAGCGUUGUCCGGAAUUACUGGGCGUAAAGGGCUCGUAGGCGGCCAACUAAGUCGGAUGUGAAAUCCCCAGGCUCAACUUGGGAACUGCAUCCGAUACUGGAUGGCUUGAAUUCGGGAGAGGGAUGCAGAAUUCCAGGUGUAGCGGUGAAAUGCGUAGAUAUCUGGAGGAAUACCGGUGGCAAAGGCGGCAUCCUGGACCGACAUUGACGCUGAGGAGCGAAAGCUAGGGGAGCAAACGGG